AUUGGGGUUGGAAAAGUGCCUAGUUAGGGACCAGGGAGAAAUAGGGAUUGGGGUUGGCUAUGCAAGGCAACCUGGUUUAAUUCCCCGAGAGAAAGCGCUAUGUGGCAAUGUGCGUGUUUCAAGCACCUACUGGACACUGCCUUGAAAAUAAACAAUUACUGACUGUUUAUGAAUUACCACCCUGGCAUGAAAACGAACCUAUCCCCCCCCCCCCCGUUUUUUAAGGCAAGUGAAUGCAAGGUGUUUCUGUAGCAAUGGCUCACAAACAUUUGCUUUGAAAAUGUUUAGCUCUAUUUUUAUGAUUUUAAAAGCGAAGCUGGAAUGCAUACACCCUGAUAUUUUAAAGGAUGAAUUGCUCUUCUCCAUUAGUUACUUGAGAACCAGAUAUUGCAUGGCUCAAGGCUAGGAGGGCUAUAGUACUAAUAAUAAAAUCCUGUGGUGGUGGUAGAUAUAAUAGAAUCAUAAAUUUGGAAAGGACCCAAUGGACCAUCUAGUCCAACCCCCUGCAAUGCAGAAAUAUGCAGCUGACCCAUACAAGGAUUGAACCUGCAACCUUGGUGUUAUCAGCACCAUGCUCUAACCAACUGAGCUAUCCAGGCAGUGCUAGUAUGUUUGUAUCACCUGGAACAGGAUAAAUUCUCAGAGCACUGAUAACAGCUUCUAGGAACUGGAAUCCAAGAAGAUAACUAGGUUCCCACAAGAGCCUGCCUCUUCAGCUAUAGUUAGCAGCCCCACAGUUAUCUUUCAUCUGGAUGGAGAACCUUAUCAUUAGGUGUUCUUGGGAAAUGAAGAUAAUACCAGUCUUACAAUAUAUCAAAAGUUUUGGCAUUCCACUGGUCAAAUUCUUUAUUUGCUGCCUCCCAUGCUUUAUAAAUUUCAUUUCUUUCAUUUUCAUCAGUGCUGCUAUCAGAUGUGAUGUCGGCUGC